GCCUCUUUAGCUCAGUUGGUAGAGCAUCCCGACAAAAAUGUCGGGAAGGUUGCCGGUUCAAGUCCGGUGAGAGACU
rnacentral:tRNA from 1 species